rnacentral:rRNA from 1 species
GACGAACGCUGGCGGCGUGCUUAACACAUGCAAGUCGAACGGAAAGGCCCUUCGGGGUACUCGAGUGGCGAACGGGUGAGUAACACGUGGGUGAUCUGCCCUGCACUUUGGGAUAAGCCUGGGAAACUGGGUCUAAUACCGAAUAGGACCACGCGCUUCAUGGUGUGUGGUGGAAAGCUUUUGCGGUGUGGGAUGGGCCCGCGGCCUAUCAGCUUGUUGGUGGGGUAAUGGCCUACCAAGGCGACGACGGGUAGCCGGCCUGAGAGGGUGACCGGCCACACUGGGACUGAGAUACGGCCCAGACUCCUACGGGAGGCAGCAGUGGGGAAUAUUGCACAAUGGGCGCAAGCCUGAUGCAGCGACGCCGCGUGAGGGAUGGCGGCCUUCGGGUUGUAAACCUCUUUCAAUAGGGACGAAGCGCAAGUGACGGUACCUAUAGAAGAAGCACCGGCCAACUACGUG